rnacentral:rRNA from 1 species
GAUGAACGCUGGCGGCGUGCUUAACACAUGCAAGUCGAACGAUGCACUUUUUUUGAUUUCCUUCGCGACUGAUUAUUUUGUGACUGAUUGGUGGACUGGUGAUUACUUCGUGGUUACUCUGCCUUGUCCAUGCUGAUACCAGUUGUAACCGCUUGCUACUACCGCAUAAGCUCACGGCAUCCCAUGGUGCAGUGUGAAAAACCCCGGUAGUAUGAGAUGGAUGCGCGUUUGAUUUACUAGUUGGUCAGGUAAGGGCCAACCAAGGCGACGAUCCAUAGCCGAACUGAGAGGGUGACCGGCCACAUUGGGACUGAGACACGGACCAAGCUCGGACGGGAGGCAGGAGUGGGGAAGAUUGCAGAAUGGGCGAAAGCCUGAUGCAGCGACGCGACGGGAGAGAAGAAGUAGUUCGGUAUGUAAAGCUCGAUGAGAAGGGAAGAAAAUGACGGUACCUGACUAAGAAGCACCGGCUAAAUACGUG